UACGUAGGGUGCGAGCGUUAAUCGGAAUUACUGGGCGUAAAGCGUGCGCAGGCGGUUCGUUGUGUCGGCGGUGAAAGCCCCGGGCUUAACCUGGGAAUGGCCGUUGAAACUGGCGAACUGGAGUGUGGCAGAGGGGGGUGGAAUUCCGCGUGUAGCAGUGAAAUGCGUAGAGAUCGGGAGGAACAUCAGUGGCGAAGGCGGCCAUCUGGGACAACACUGACGCUGAGGCACGAAAGCGUGGGGAGCAAACAGG
rnacentral:rRNA from 1 species